UACGUAGGGUCCGAGCGUUGUCCGGAGUUACUGGGCGUAAAGCGCGCGCAGACGGCGGUGCUGGCCCGGCGUGAAAGCCCCCGGCUCAACCGGGGAGGGUCGUCGGGGACCGCACCGCUUGAGGGCGGUAGGGGCUGGUGGAAUGCCUGGUGUAGUGGUGAAAUGCGUAGAGAUCAGGCGGAACACCCGUGGCGAAGGCGGCCAGCUGGGCCGUCCCUGACGCUGAGGCGCGAAGGCGUGGGGAGCGAACGGG
rnacentral:rRNA from 1 species